rnacentral:sRNA from 1 species
GAAAUGAAAGGUUAUAAUUAGUUCAUAGUGAAAUGUAAAUACAAGAUGCCCUAAAUCUUAUGUACAGCAACUAUGUUAUAAUUAGUUCAUAGUGAAAUGUAAAUUUAUGUGUCUGACAUAGAAGAACUUGUACACCAAAGUUAUAAUUAGUUCAUAGUGAAAUGUAAAUUUUCGCUUUUUGGGUAUAAAAAUAACAGCCAUCGUUGUUAUAAUUAGUUCAUAGUGAAAUGUAAAUUAAGCAAAUAGCACGUCAACCCUGUUCUCAAGCAUUGUUAUAAUUAGUUCAUAGUGAAAUGUAAAUGUAUCUAACACCUUUUUCUUUUAAAAAUAAAUGGGUUAUAAUUAGU